rnacentral:tRNA from 1 species
GCUUUAAUAGUUUAAAUAAACACUAUCUUUGUAAGGUGGAGAUGAGUCUUCUUAGGGCA